UAGGGAAUAUUGCACAAUGGGCGCAAGCCUGAUGCAGCAACGCCGCGUGCGCGAUGAAGGUCUUCGGAUCGUAAAGCGCUUUUCGGGGAGAUGAGGAAGGACAGUAUCCCCGGAAUAAGUCUCGGCUAACUACGUGCCAGCAGCCGCGGUAAAACGUAGGAGGCAAGCGUUAUCCGAAUUUACUGGGCGUAAAGCGCGUGCAGGCGGUCCAGCAAGUUGGAUGUGAAAUCUCCUGGCUCAACUGGGAGAGGUCGUUCAAAACUGCUGGACUGGAGGACGGUAGAGGGAGGUGGAAUUCCCGGUGUAGUAGUGAAAUGCGUAGAUAUCGGGAGGAACACCUGUGGCGAAAGCGGCCUCCUGGACCGUACCUGACGCUCAGACGCGAAAGCUAGGGGAGCGAACGGGAUUAGAAACCCCGGUAGUCCUAGCCGUAAACGAUGUGAACUGGAUGUCGGUGGGUAAAAGCCAUCGGCGUCGAAGCCAACGCGAUAAGUUCACCGCCUGGGGAC
rnacentral:rRNA from 1 species